ACGAACGCUGGCGGCGUGCUUAACACAUGCAAGUCGAGCGGUAAGGCCCUUUCGGGGGUACACGAGCGGCGAACGGGUGAGUAACACGUGGGUGACCUGCCCUCAGCUCUGGGAUAAGCCUGGGAAACUGGGUCUAAUACUGGAUAUGACUCCACGGUGCAUGUCGUGGGGUGGAAAGCCUUGUGCGGCUGAGGAUGGGCCCGCGGCCUAUCAGCUUGUUGGUGGGGUGAUGGCCUACCAAGGCGACGACGGGUAGCCGGCCUGAGAGGGCGACCGGCCACACUGGGACUGAGACACGGCCCAGACUCCUACGGGAGGCAGCAGUGGGGAAUCUUGCGCAAGUGGGCGAAAGCCUGACGCAGCGACGCCGCGUGAGGGAUGACGGCCU
rnacentral:rRNA from 1 species